GCCCAUGCUCAGUUGGCAGAGCACGAGACUCUUUAUGUCAGGAUCGUGGGUACGAGCCCCACGUUGGGCA